rnacentral:lncRNA from 1 species
GGGGGGGCUGGGUUCUUUGGGCCGCAGCAGCAGGCAUUCUCGCUUUGCCUCCUUGGCGUGUGCCUUGUGGGCGGUCCCUCCCCGAAGUGGGGGAGGCCUCCCUCGCUGCCAUGCUUUGCAUCUCUGCGGGUGCAUGAGUGUGCCUCCCCUGGUCCUCUGUGGUGCCCCUGGAGUACUCCGGGUUGCCUGUCAGAUGCCCGAGGCCGAGCGGUGGUGUCGUUUUCCUCUCCCAGCGGUGAGUCCCCUCGGGUCCCCACUGUGGUGGUGGUGUGCCCCACGAGCAGACCCCCCCCUUCUGGCUUCCCACUUUUUGGGAGUGUGUUCCCACUCCUGUGGGUCCCCGAAGGGGCGAGCGAUGGUGUGUGGGGCACUACGCGCCCUCGGUGAGAAAGUCUUCUCUAGCGCUCUCAGAGGGGGGCCUUGGGGUACCUGGACUUCAGCUACUCCUCUGAAGUCUGCAGGCAGUAGCUGCCUACUUGCCACAGUGUGUGGGCAAGAGCCGCCCUUGUGCGAGGUGUGCGCUGGCCCCCCCAUGGUGGGGGCCAAGCACUGCUCUUUUGCCUAAUGCGGCCUGUGCCUCCCCCCUCCGAGUUGGGGGAGGGUCACGCCGGCCAGGCCGGGUUUGGCGUCCAGCGCCAGGCUGUGUGCUGCGUCUCAAGUGGUGCCCCUCCCCUUGGAAUGAAUCCCAUGUUGCCAUGAGCUGUGGGUAGAGGAGAGUGAGAAGGAGAGGGAGGGAGGGGGAAGGGAAGGGAGGGAGAGACCCUCCAUUUCAUGGAACUGGUUUCCUUGUUUUGAGACGACGUCGCUUUGUUGAAACAGUUGUCAGAUGGCCUCUCAAAAGGCGGUGAUGUGGAUGGGCUCCCCGAACCAGGCCCACAGAAACCAAAGGAACAAAGGGGUUAAUUCUUGGAGCCACAAUUCCCUCCUCUGAAACUGAAACCAAGCUCAAGCCCUGGAGUGCUGGUGUGUUGGAGCCGGAGACAUUGUUACAGCUAAAAGCUACUUUGAAAUAGUCUCCAUUAGGUUACGGCUUGCCUUGGCCCAUGAACUUAUGAACUUAUGACUAAUGACUACUGUCGAGUCAGAGUUGUAGUGAACCUGGUGUUUUCUCUACCCUUGAAACACUCCCUAAGGAUGCCCCCCCCCCCCC